rnacentral:piRNA from 1 species
UUGGUUUUGAUCUGGUUUUAUGGCUUGCA